rnacentral:rRNA from 1 species
UACGUAGGGUGCAAGCGUUGUCCGGAAUUAUUGGGCGUAAAGAGCUCGUAGGCGGUCUGUCGCGUCUGCCGUGAAAACCCGAGGCUUAACCUCGUGGCUUGCGGUGGAUACGGGCAGACUAGAGGUAGGUAGGGGAGAAUGGAAUUCCCGGUGUAGCGGUGAAAUGCGCAGAUAUCAGGAGGAACACCGGUGGCGAAGGCGGGUCUCUGGGCCGUAACUGACGCUGAGGAGCGAAAGCGUGGGGAGCGAACAGG